ensembl:lncRNA
CUGGUUGAAAAAGAAGAUCACUGGAGAUUCAGAAGAGUAUUCUUAUCCCCAGCUCCUCCUUUCUCUCUCUGUGCUUCCUGGUUGUUAAGAGUGAGCACCUGUCCUCAACUAUGCCUUUUCUGCCUUAAGUCUUCCAAUCAUGGACUAAAUCCUUUAAAACUAUUAAAAAGAAUGCCUGGAUACUGGUGCGGAAUCAAUAGAAUUGGGAGAAGAUGGAGAAUGGGGAGCAUCUAUGGAUGCAAAGAGGCACUGAGUCUGCGCUUGGGAAGCUGAGUAAAUGGACUGUCUCUCAAUAAGAUCCAAAGAGAGAACAUUUGGUAACAAGUUUGAGGUUAGUUCACAUUUUCACAUGCUGUGACUUAAUCAUCACUGGAUUGUCAUGCAGAAAUGGUAUCUGGAUUUGAAUUUACAGACAUGGGAACUCAUUUGUGUUCAGGCUUUUAUGCUUGAUCAGUAUUUCUUCAAAUUUUACAUUUAUUUCUGUGGCCCCUUUGGGAAGACAUUGUGCUCAAGCAAAGGAUAGAUAAGAUACUGCAAAAUAUUUUGGGGUUUCUACUUUGCUGAGUAGCUUUCCCUCAGCUGAAUGUUGAUAUUCUUAAACAUAGUUCUUUCAUGUAAAUCUUUUCUACAUAUUGAAUGUAACUUGAAAUUACUGUAAAGUUCACAUCUUUGUAUAAAAGUCAUUUAAUUCAAUGGUUCUUGUUAUGCAAAUGUUUUUCAAAUCUGCUGUUCCUCUCUCUUCUGGAAGAAUUUUGUUGGUAAUUGUGCAUUGCACUCUCAGAACUCUGUAGCUUGCCCAAUAUUUUCCACACCUAUUUGAUCUGAAAGUUGUAUGAUGACAAGAAAUAAUUCCAUUCUUUGUUACUAUUUGCAGACUGUGGUUUCUAUGUGAUAUUUAUUCAGCAGAAUUUAAGAACAGGAUAUAUCAAUAAAAGCAUUUUACUCAUUUAAAAUGUAUUUUUUUUUUUGCAUUUCAUUUCACAUUUA